rnacentral:lncRNA from 1 species
GUGGACUUUUCCAUGUGAAUGUCAAAGUCACCAAAAAUGUGAAUAUUAUCUGCCAUGACUACAAGGUCCGAUAGGAUUUCAGGGAACGCUGUAUACAGCCCAGGAGGUCUGUAAACAGUAGCUAUAAAAAGUGAUUGAGUAGGCUGCAUAGAUUUCAUGAUUAGAAGCUCAAAAGAUGAAAACGCAGUUGUUUUUUUUGUAAAUUGAAAUAUGGUAUCGUAAAUGUUAGCAACACCUCCGCCUUUGCGGGAUGCACUGGGGAUAUGUUCACUAGUGUAACCAGGAGGAGAGGCCUCAUUUAUCACAGAAAAUGCAUCAGGCUUAAGCCAUGUUUCAGUCAGGCCAAUCACAUCAAGAUUAUGAUCAGUGGUUCAUUGACUAUAACUGCCUUGGAAGUGAGGAAUCUAACAUUAAGUAGCCCUAUUUUGAGAUGUGAGGUAUCACAAUCUCUUUCAAUAAUGGCAGGAAUGGAGGUCUUUAUUCCAGUGAGAUUUCUAAGGCAAACACCGCCAUGUUUAGUUUUGACCAACCUAGAUCGAGGCACAGACACGGUCUCAAUGGGGAUAGCUGAGCUGACUACACUGACUGUGCUAGUGGCAGAGUCCACUAAACUGUCAGGCUGGCUAACAGCCUGCUGCCUGGCCUGCACCCUAUCUCAUUGUGGAGCUAGAGCUCUGUCUAUGUUCAUAGAUAAGAUGAGAGCACUCCUCCAGCUAGGAUGGAGUCCGUCACUCCUCAGCAGGCCAGGCUUGGUCCUGUUUGUGGGUGAGUCCCAGAAAGAGGGACAAUUAUCUACAAAUUCUAUAUUUUGCGAGGGGCAGAAAACAGUUUUCAACCAGCGAUUGAGUUGUAGAGCUCAUCACUCCCCCUAACUGAGAAUGGGCCAGAGACAAUUACUCAAUGCCGACAUCUUUCUAGCUGAUUUACACGCUGAAUCUAUGUUGCGCUUGGUGACCUCUGACUGUUUCAUCCUAACAUCGUUGGUGCCGACGUGGAUAACAAUAUCCCUAUACUCUCUACACUCGCCAGUUUUAGCCUUAGCCAGCACCAUCUUCAGAUUAGCCUUAACGUCGGUAGCCUUGCCCCCUGGUAAACACUGUAUGAUCGCUGGAUGAUUAGUUUUAAAUCUAAUACUGUGGGUAAUGGAGUCACCAAUGCCUGGGGUUUUCAAUUUGUCAGAGUUAAUGGUGGGAGGCUUCGGCGUCUCAGACCCCGUAACGGAUGGAGGAGAGACCAGAGAAGGCUCGGCCUCUGACUCCGACUCGUUGCUUAAUGGGGAGAACCGGUUGAAAGUUUCCGUCGGCUGAAUGAGCGACACCGGUUGAGCAUUCCUACAGCAUUUCCUUCCAGAAGCCAUGAGAUAAUUUUCCGGCUGCGGGGACUGUGCGAGGGGAUUUAUACUACUAUCUGUACUUAUUGGUGGCACAGACGCUGUUUCAUCCUUUCCUACACUUAAAUUACCCUUGCCUAACGAAAUGCCUUGUGUAUGAGGUAUCAGACCUCAGGUUGUCUUUUGGAGGUAUCAGGCCUCAGGUUGCCUUCUAAAGGUAUCAGACCUCAGGUUGUCUUCUGGAGGUAUCAGAACCCAGGUUGUCUUCUGGAGGUAUCAGAACCCAGGUUGUCUUCUGGAGGUAUCAGAACCCAGGUUGUCUUCUGGAGGUAUCAGAACACGGGUUGUCUUCUGGAGGUAUCAGAACCCAGGUUGUCUUCUGGAGGUAUCAGAACACGGGUUGUCUUCUGGAGGUAUCAGAACCCAGGUUGGUUGUCUUCUGGAGGUAUCAGAACCCAGGUUGGUUGUCUUCUGGAGGUAUCAGAACCCAGGUUGGUUGUCUUCUGGAGGUAUCAGGCCUCAGGUUGGUUGUGUUCUGGGGCCAUCAGGCCUCAGGUUGGUUGUCUUCUGGAGGUAUCAGGCCUCAGGUUGUCUUCUGGAGGUAUCAGGCCUCAGGUUGUCUUCUGGAGGUAUCAGGCCUCAGGUUGUCUUCUGGAGGUAUCAGGCCUCAGGUUUUCUUCUGGAGGCAUCAGGCCUCAGGUUGGUUGUCUUCUGGAGGUAUCAGGCCUCAGGUUGGUUGUCUUCUGGAGGUAUCAGGCCUCAGCUUGGUUGUCUUCUGGAAGUAUCAGGCCUCAGGUUGGUUGUCUUCUGGAGGUAUCAGGCCUCAGGUUGGUUGUCUUCUGGAGGUAUCAGGCCUCAGGUUGUCUUCUGGAGGUACAGUAUCAGGCCUCAGGUUGGUUGUCUUCUGGAAGUAUCAGGCCUCAGGUUGGUUGUCUUCUGGAGGUAUCAGGCCUCAGCUUGGUUGUCUUCUGGAAGUAUCAGGCCUCAGGUUGGUUGUCUUCUGGAGGUACAGUAUCAGGCCUCAGGGCAAAGUGAUAUGGGAUACCUGACAGAAUGACAAAUUGAGGAAAGAUCAGAGGCUUGUCACUAAGACCACAUUAAACACACAUGGAACUCCAAAAUAUGUUUUCACAGUAACGUGUAGGCUCCUCCUGUUUUCUGUUGAAGCCAGUUGCUCAGUUUCAGGUCACAGCCAAUGUCAGUGACAGGUGAGCAACAUUUGAGCUUGUUUGAUCUACAGUGUAUUGGCAUAUGUGUUUGGGGGGUUAUAGCAAGCAGAUGAUUGAUAGUUGUCGUUGUAGUGUGUGG